AGUGAACGCUGGCGGUAGGCCUAACACAUGCAAGUCGAACGGCAGCACAGUAAGAGCUUGCUCUUACGGGUGGCGAGUGGCGGACGGGUGAGGAAUACAUUGGAAUCUACUUUUUCGUGGGGGAUAACGUAGGGAAACUUACGCUAAUACCGCAUACGACCUACGGGUGAAAGCAGGGGAUCUUCGGACCUUGCGCGAUUGAAUGAGCCGAUGUCGGAUUAGCUAGUUGGCGGGGUAAAGGCCCACCAAGGCGACGAUCCGUAGCUGGUCUGAGAGGAUGAUCAGCCACACUGGAACUGAGACACGGUCCAGACUCCUACAGGAGGCAGCAGUGGGGAAUAUUGGACAAUGGGCGCAAGCCUGAUCCAGCCAUACCGCGUGGGUGAAGAAGGCCUUCGGGUUGUAAAGCCCUUUUGUUGGGAAAGAAAAGCAGCAGGUUAAUACCCCGCUGUUCUGACGGUACCCAAAGAAUAAGCACCGGCUAACUUCGUG
rnacentral:rRNA from 1 species